GGAUCCAGACUUUGAUUUUGCUCAGAUUGACGCGGCGGCGUGCCUUACACAUGCAGUCGAACGCGAAAAGUUUUUCGGAAAUGAGUAGAAUGGCGCACGGGCGAGUAACGCGUGGAUUAUCUACCUACUGGUACGGGACAACAGUUGGAAACGACUGCUAAUACCGUAUACGCUGGUAACGGGAAAGGGGGCCUCUUCUUGAAAGCUCUCGCCAGUAGAUGAGUCCGCGUUUCAUUAGCUAGACGGUGGGGUAACGGCCUACCGUGGCAACGAUGAAUAGCAGGCCUGAGAGGGUGGCCUGCCACACUGGGACUGGAACACGGCCCAGACUCCUACGGGAGGCAGCAGUGGGGAAUAUUGCGCAAUGGACGAAAGUCUGACGCAGCGACGCCGCGUGGAGGAUGAAGGUUUUCGGAUCGUAAACUCCUGUCAAGAGGGAAGAAACCUAUUAUGAAUAAUACUCAUAGUAAUUGACGGUACCUCUAGAGGAAGCACCGGCUAAUUCAGUGCCAGCAGCCGCGGUAAU
rnacentral:rRNA from 1 species